AUGGCAGGGGCCGCAGCGGGCGGCAGAGGCGGAGGUGCCUGGGGGCCGGGGCGCGGAGGGUCGGGGGUGCUCCGACGGGGCUGCUCUCCCCCAGCCCCCGCCGGCUCCCCCCGGGCUGGGCUGCAGCCGCUCAGGGCCACGAUCCCCUUCCAGCUGCAGCAGCCGCACCAGCGCCGGGACGGGGGUGGCCGUGCAGCCAGCGUCCCAUGCUCGGUGGCCCCAGAAAAGUCAGUGUCUAGGCCUCAGCCACUUCAGGUCCGGCGUACAUUCUCCCUGGACACCAUCCUCAGCUCCUACCUUCCGAGCCAGUGGCCACGAGAUGCUGAUGGGGCCUUCACCUGCUGCACCAAUGACAAGGCCACCCAGACACCCCUGUCCUGGCAAGAGCUAGAAGGUGAGCGUGCCAGCUCCUGUGCACACAAGCGCUCAGCAUCCUGGGGCAGCACAGACCACCGAAAAGAGAUUUCCAAGUUGAAGCAACAACUGCAGAGGACAAAAGCUGAGCCGCAGUGGGAAAGAGAAGGAGCGAGGUUCCCUACUCCCAGGGGACCACGCAGUGCGGGGAGCACUGAGGGUGUCCCCUCCCAGCUUCCCCUCAGGGUCCCCUGUCUUGCGACUCAGCCCCUGCCUGCACAGGAGCCUGGAAGGGCUCAACCAAGAGCUGGAGGAGGUGUUUGUGAAGGAGCAGGGAGAAGAGGAGCUGCUGAGGAUCCUUGAGAUCCCUGAUGGGAACCGGGCCCCAGCUCCUCCCCAGAGUGGCAGCUGUGAUCAUCCCCUCCUCCUCCUGGAGUCUGGCAACUUUGCCAGCUCUCCUUCCAUUUCCUUGGCAUCCCCCCAGCCUUGUGGCCCGGCCAGUCAUGAGGAACACCGGGGUGCCGCCGAGGAGCUGGCAUCCACCCCCAACGACAAAGCCUCCUCUCCAGGCCACCCAGCCUUUCUUGAAGAUGGCAGCCCAUCUCCUGUCCUUGCCUUUGCUGCCUCCCCUCGGCCUAAUCAUAGCUACGUCUUCAAACGGGAGCCCCCAGAAGGCUGUGAGAAAGUGCGUGUGUUUGAAGAAGCCACGUCCCCAGGUCCUGACCCGGCCUUCCUGACUUCCUGUCCUGACAAGAACAAAGUCCAUUUCAACCCGACCGGCUCAGCCUUCUGCCCCGUCAACCUGAUGAAGCCCCUCUUCCCUGGCAUGGGCUUCAUCUUCCGUAACUGCCCCUCAAACCCGGGGUCUCCCCUUCCCCCGGCCAGCCCCAGGCCACCACCUCGGAAGGAUCCGGAGGCCUCCAAGGCCUCCCCACUGCCCUUCGAGCCAUGGCAGCGCACCCCACCAUCAGAAGAGUCUGUGCUUUUCCAGAGCUCCCUGAUGGUCUGAGGGUCCCAUCCCUGCCCCACUUUACCAUAGAGACCAGUGCCUUGGUGGCAGGUCCCUCCCCAGGUCCCCUGAGAUGGGGUAUGGAGGGGCCCUUCCCUCUCGGCCUUUGAGCACUUUCUUUCACUUAUCGUGUCAAAGUCCUGGGUCCUCUUUUUGAUGGGCACUGGCCCCUCUGAACGUGAUGGGACCUGCCUUCUCCACUAGCAGCUGGGCAGCUCACAACUCACACCUGUGUAGCUGCCACAUCCCUCACUUCGUGGAAAACACCCAGAAGGUCUGGAGUCCCUCACCCCUGGGUGUCAGUCCAAAUGACUGUAUAGGAGGCCCUUAUUUUUGUCACAGAGCAAGCUGGCCAUGAAUGAAGGAGAGAGGACGCCAUAGAUUUCCUUCCCUCCCUUCCAGGAGACCAUAAGAUAGAUCCCCCAUCCUCUCAGCCCUAUCCCGACGCCUCCCUCUCAUUAGAGGAGCUGACCAAAGCAGUCCUAAUGGGCCAUAACACUUGACCAAUUCAGCUGCUGGCAGAAGGAGGAAACAAGUGUUUCCCCAAGUGGCAUUUUCAUCUCGCUUUCACCCUGACUAAAGAUUGUCUUAAGUAGCAGGCCAGCCUGCCCAGCCCCAGGUGGGUAGUGGGGAGGAGAGUUGGCAUUCCUCCAGGUGGCAAAUGGCAAAUCUAUAUUCUCCGCCCGCCCCAGGGCUGGAUUGGAUUAGAAAAAUGCCUAUUUUUCUUGUAUCGAUGUAGAAACUCUAUUUUCUCCCAAAGACACUAUUUUUGCAGCUGUUUGAAGUUUGUAUAUUUUCCGUACUGCAGAGUUUACACAAAAUUGAAGAAUGUUAAUGUUCGAGUUUUCUUAUCUUGUGUUUAGAGGUUGUUUUUUGCAGAUCUUGGUGUUAAUAGACCAAAUAAAUAAAUAAAUAUUC